GUUGUAAAAUCCUUUUCCGGGCGAUGAGGAAGGACACUAGCCUGGGAAUAAGCGUCGGCUAACUACGUGCCAGCAGCCGCGGUAAGACGUAGGACGCGAGCGUUAUCCGGAUUUACUGGGCGUAAAGCGCCUGCAGGCGGUCAGGUAAGUCGGUUGUGAAAGCCCCGUGCUCAACGCGGGGAGGCCAAGCGAUACUGCGUGACUUGAGGGCGGAAGAGGGGAGUGGAAUUCCCGGUGUAGCGGUAAAAUGCGCAGAUAUCGGGAGGAACACCAGUGGCGAAGGCGGCUCCCUGGACCGCACCUGACGCUCAGAGGCGAAAGCUAGGGGAGCGAACAGGAUUAGAGACCCUGGUAGUCCUAGCCCUAAACGCUGGAUGCUAGGUGUAGGGCUGAUGAGGCUCUGUGCCGGAGCGAACGCGAUAAGCAUCCCGCCUGGGAACUACGGCCGCAAGGCUAAAACUCAAACGAAUUGACGGGGACCCGCACAAGCAGCGGAGCGUGUGGUUUAAUUCGAUGCUACACGAAGAACCUUACCUGGGUUUGACAUGUUGGUGGUACCGAACCGAAAGGGGAGGGACCCUUCGGGGAGCCAACACAGGUGCUGCAUGGCUGUCGUCAGCUCGUGCCGUGAGGUGUCGGGUUAAGUCCCGUAACGAGCGCAACCCUUGCUCUUAGUUAUACGUGUCUAAGGGGACUGCCGGCGACAAGCCGGAGGAAGGUGGGGAUGACGUCAAGUCAGCAUGGCCUUGAUAUCCAGGGCUACACACACGCUACAAUGGCCGGUACAAAGGGCAGCCAAGCCGCGAGGUGGAGCGAAUCCCAGCAAAGCCGGUCCCAGUUCGGAUUGCAGG
rnacentral:rRNA from 1 species